rnacentral:rRNA from 1 species
GAUGAACGCUGGCGGCGUGCCUAAUACAUGCAAGUCGAGCGAACAGACGAGGAGCUUGCUCCUCUGACGUUAGCGGCGGACGGGUGAGUAACACGUGGAUAACCUACCUAUAAGACUGGGAUAACUUCGGGAAACCGGAGCUAAUACCGGAUAAUAUAUUGAACCGCAUGGUUCAAUAGUGAAAGACGGUUUUGCUGUCACUUAUAGAUGGAUCCGCGCCGCAUUAGCUAGUUGGUAAGGUAACGGCUUACCAAGGCUACGAUGCGUAGCCGACCUGAGAGGGUGAUCGGCCACACUGGAACUGAAACACGGUCCAUACUCCUGCGGGAGGCAGCAGUAGGGAAUCUUCCGCAAUGGGCGAAAGCCUGACGGAGCAACGCGGCGUGAGUGAUGAAGGUCUUCGGAUCGUAAAACUCUGUUAUUAGGGGAGAACAAAUGUGUAAGUAACUAUGCACGUCUUGACGGUACCUAAUCAGAAAGCCACGGCUAACUACGUG